AUUGGGGAUCAUACUUAAGUUGUCCAUUGCCCCCUCCUGCAUUGUGGGAGAUUGUUUUCAGUUAGUGUCUAAGUGCGCGCUGUACUGGAUGUUUGUUUAUUCUUUGUUGGUUUUGUGAAGUUUCACUUUGUAAUAAAGUAUGUGGAACUCUACGCGCCUUGGUCCGCUCCUUUCGACGAAAGUGACACUUUCUACUAUUAUUCUGACAUUUCACAUUCUUAAAAUAAAGUGGUGAUCCUAACUGACCUAAGACAGGGAAUUUUUACUAGGAUUAAAUGUCAGGAGUUGUGAAAAACUGAGUUUAAACGUAUUUGGCUAAGUUGUAUGUAAACUUCCGACUUCAACUGUAUGUACAGUAUGUACCCGCUCAAAGCUAUAGAGAAAACAAUGAUAUCUCUAUAUUAUAUCUCUAUACUUAGGACCCGUCAGGGGUGUUAGGACAGCUGUUGAAGGGGACAUACCGUGUCAGGGGUCCUCCAGAAGGUGAUGCUGCUCCUGAGAUCUGCCAACUGGUACAUCAGCCCCCUGUGACAUUCUCGACAUCUCCUGCACAAGAUCAGUCAGAAGGACUCCCAGCAGCAGCCGUGUGUGGCCAAGGCCUUUCUAGAGGCUUUGAUAAAGUUUAUGACCCGCAGUGGAUUCUUCAGACUGGACCCAAUGGGAACGGAACUCUGGACUCGGUCACUAUACAAACUAUUAGCUGUUGUCUUCCUCCAGGUGGCAGAGACGGAUGCAGGUCUUCACUGAGGAGGAGGUCAGAGUCCCUCUGAGAUGGAAGUACAACUCACUACCGCAGAGACUAAGGCACUGCACUGUCCCAGGUAGCUACUGUCUACUACUAUCUCUGCUCUUCACCUUCCUGCCCAGCCUUAAGUAAAGGCUAAUAUUAAUGUUUCUUACUGAUUUUCAUUCUCUUUCUCUCUUCUAGCCUCAGGAUAGAAUGGCGGGGAGAUGAUUCAGGAGCGGCUCUGACAGAGGAAGAAGGACCUGAGGCACCUGGCCCACCUGGAGCUCUACCUGUGGGAGAGGGAGGAGGAGAGGGGGGUAGGAGGGCAGGGGGCUGUAGCGCUGCUAGAGAGGUGGGGACCAGACUGAGUAACCGCACCCUGACGGACUGUGGGCUCCCCCUGCUGUACAGCGAUGGAGACACAGCCGAAAACACGGCUGAGAAAUGAGGCUCUCUCUCCUAACCUGCACAGCAGGCCUCAUAACAGGUAGAGAGGCUUAGACAUUAGCUUUACCUUGAUCUAAUUAAAAUCUUCCAGAAAUAUUUCUCAGCUAAUCCUCAGAAUUUACAGUGUCAACCCUUUUAGUUUUCAGCAGAAGCAAGAGUGUAAUGUUGCAAGACCGAGCAGACAAGUAAGACAAGUA
rnacentral:lncRNA from 13 species